rnacentral:rRNA from 1 species
GAUGAACGCUAGCGACAGGCUUAACACAUGCAAGUCGAGGGGCAGCAUAAAAGUAGCAAUACUUUGGUGGCGACCGGCGCACGGGUGAGUAACGCGUAUGCAACCUACCUAUCAGAGGGGAAUAACCCGGCGAAAGUCGGACUAAUACCGCAUAAAACAGGGGCACCGCAUGGUGAUAUUUGUUAAAGAGAUUCGCUUAUAGAUGGGCAUGCGUUCCAUUAGGUAGUUGGUGAGGUAACGGCUCACCAAGCCGACGAUGGAUAGGGGAACUGAGAGGUUGGUCCCCCACACUGGUACUGAGACACGGACCAGACUCCUACGGGAGGCAGCAGUGAGGAAUAUUGGUCAAUGGGCGAGAGCCCGAACCAGCCAAGUCGCGUGAAGGAAGAAGGAUCUAUGGUUCGUAAACUUCUUUUGCAGGGGAAUAAAGUGCAGGACGUGUCCUGUUUUGUAUGUACCCUGAGAAUAAGGAUCGGCUAACUCCGUGCCAGCCGCCGCCGUAA